CCAACUUCAAAUAGACAUUGCAAGAUAGUAUUGUAGGUAACAAUGCAAGGUUUCAAUCCAUGUCGAGAAAUAUCAUAAAACAAAUUCAUGGCCUCAUCCAAUUUCUUUUUCUUACAAUAUCCAUUUAUUAAUAUGUUAUAGCUAAUAAUGGCAGGCUUAAUGCUCUUAUCUUCCUGUACGCAACCUAAUGAGCUGGAUAGAAUUGAAAAAUUUAAGUGGAAAAGUUAUAAAUUGGAAUGGACAUCGAGUCUUAGCAUUCCAUAGGUACGUGGAAUGCUAAGCUUAUAACCAUAUAUAUCAGCUUUUAUAAUUAAAUAGCAUAUUCAAGUUGCUCUAAUGACGAGGUCCCCCAAAAAGAAAAAGAUUAAUCUGUCUUUACUAGUCAAAUGCACGAGGUCAUUGCUCUUGCAAUUCUUUCCUUUACUCUGAUUUCUGUCUAAGCUUGAUGACAUAUCAGAUCAUUAUUCCUUCUGAUCGAAAAUUCAACCACCAAAGCAUUUGGAUUCAUGAUUAUCUGGAGCACUUGAUUAACGGGUUCGUUCAAACCCAAUAUUUUCAACCCAGAAUACACGGAAUAUUAAUAUAUAUAUAUACGAAAAAAACGUUUACUAAAGUUCAAGAAAAGUUGGACCUAUCUGAAGCUGUAGUAAAAUAAGUUCAGUGCUAAUAACUUUAAAGGUCGAAUUCAUCAAGUUUACAUCCUAGAUGUGCCGCCUCUGAUAUAUGGUGGAGCCAGUUCAACAUUAUUGGCAGUGGACCCUCAAUUCAAUUCAGCUGCUGCAAUAAGUUUGAGUCGGAUGAGUUCCGACUGACAAGGUUAUAAUACCUUAUAUUGAUGCAGGUGAUACCUACCUUAAACCAUAUGUGAUACCAGAUCCUGAAGUCAAGGUGAGCAAAAGGACUGAUGCAGAUGAGUUCUUAAUACUUGCAAGUGACAGGACUAUGGGAUGUCAUACCAAACGAUGUUGCAUGUGACAUUACAAGAAGAUGUUUGAAUGGUCAAAUGAAGAGGCUGAUACAACAGAAUUUGUCUAAAAUUGUAAGAAUUGUCAAUUUGCAGCACAGAAGUAAUUUAUUCGAUAGUCUUCCAGCUGCACUAAAACUCCAUUCAUGUUAAUCUCAAGACGAACAUUGAUUAACCUCAAAAGUUCUCUUAACAUAAAUAUGGCAGUAUGGCUCAAGAGUGAAGAAGGCAGAAGAAGAAUGCUUCCAUUUUGUUAAAGCCAUAUAAGCAACCUUGGCUUCUUCUGCCUGUUCCUUGGAUUGUGCAGCAUCCCCAGGAAAGACUUCUCCUUCAAUGUCCACAACUUGACAAGAAUAUUGGAUUCAGAAAGCUUCUUCGGACUUUCUAAGAGGCAACGCCUCCCUUAAAGCAGCUCCAUCAACUUGAAUAACAUUAAUGCCAGCCUUCUCAAGAUCUUUAACCACAUCCUUAAUAGCCAAAACAAUUUGAUAGCAAGUCUCAAAUCUAAACAGCAAGAAAACACCAGUCGACCUUAAUAACCAAAACAAUUUGAUAGCAAGUCUCAAAUCUAAACAGCAAGAAAACACCAGUCGAAUUAUAUGUGUGAGAGGAUGAAUGAGGGGGAAAAAGCGUUUAACUUAAAAAUUCAAAUCUCAGUGCUUGCUCAUGCUUUGUGCCAGUGAAUAAAGGGUCACAGUCAUUGGUUUUUCUAACUAACAUCGCCAUAGAAAAUUGGAGGCUUAACACGGCGGGAUCCAUAAGAUUGAACCCAUCCAUUGGUUGUAAAAGCUUCUUAGGAAUAAGCUUGACUACUUUGCUGAUUUCCUCUGUAAUAUACUUGACAUAUCCUUCCCCCGAGAAAUCACUGUAAACAUUAUAUUAAAAAUAAAUGGUGAUUCUCGAAUAGAAAUCACUGGAAAACGAGUUUAAUAUUUCUCCUCUUUUCUUAUUUGUUUAAUUUCGUCAUUGGCUAAGUUUAACAACAUUAAAAGGAAUAACUGCUCUAGUAGAUAGCGAACUUGUAAGCCUUGUCUUCUAGCGAACUUUUCUUAGCUCUAAUUCUAGAGAAGAGCAUUAUUUCCUGGAGUAGAAAUUAUACCAGCACAGAAAGAAGCUUCGUAUCGAACAGGAAGCUGUUAUUGAUUCUCAAAAUGAUGAAAAAUGAAGACUACUAAAUAGCACUGAAAAUGCUAUUCCUAGACUUAUAAUGUGUGUAUAUAAGGAAACUCGCAUCAUUUCUCAUAUUAAUAGUGCAAUAUAACAUGAUUUCCAAGAUAAAGUAGAAUGGCAUAACAAUCAAAUUAUUAGAACUGAUCUACCUGCUCAAAAAGCUUGCUUGGAAAGCUUGAGCAAUGUUCUAACUGUCAUUAUGUCAACUUCCACAAUUCCAUUGAUCUGAUUACUUUCUAGAGGUAAAAGGAAAUUGCAUCUAGGUGAAAAGUAUACCUGAAUAAAUCAAGUGAAAUAAAUCACUUCUUAUUUCCCAAGUGAAAUUGUGGUAUCAUGUCAAGCAAAGAAGGAUGCUUCGCUAUAACAUCUAUUGGUGACAUAAUUCACUUCUUAUUUCCCAAGUGAAAUUGUGGUAUCAUGUCAAGCAAAGAAGAAUGCUUCGCUAUAACAUCUAUUAGUAACUCUACUGUUCUUGCGUCAAAUGAGAAGCCCCUUUCAUUCAUUUCCUCCAAAAAGGUUAUCAUUUCAGUAACUUUGCUAAACUUGAGAAAUCCUUGCACAAUAAUAUUAUAAGUGGUAUUAUCCGGCGAACAACCAUUCUCCUCCAUUUUUCUUAGCAUAUCUUUAGCUUCAUCUAACAACCCUUCCAGACAAAAUUCAUUUAUCAUUAUAGUGUAUGUUAUCACAUUGGGAAACAAUCCAAUUAAAGAAAGCUUUUCAAAAAUAGCAUGAGCUCUUUCGGCCUGGCCAGUUUUGCACAAUCCGUCUAUUACAACAUUGGAAAAUUCAAUAUCAGUAUCUUCUCUGUUUCUUUCCAACUCAUGAAAUACCAACAUAGCUUUCUCAACAAGUCCAUUCUGAAAAUAACCACGGAGCAAAAUCAGAUUAGUGCAUAAAUCAGGUUUGAACCCCAUGGAUAGCAUCUCAGCAAAGAAUUUUUGCACAAAGUGAAUUCUUCCAACUUCAAAUAGACCUUGCAAGAUAGUACUGCAGGUAACAAUGUCAGGCUCCAAUCCGUUUCGAGAAAUUUCAUGAAACAAAUGCAUGGCCUCAUCCAAUUUUUUGUUCUUACAAUAUCCAUUUAUUAAUAUGUUAUAGCUAAUAAUGCGUAGGUAACAAUGUCAGGUUCCAAUCCGUUUCGAGAAAUUUAAUGAAACAAAUGCAUGGCCUCAUCCAAUUUCUUUUUCUUACAAUAUCCAUUUAUUAAUAUGCUAUAGCUAAUAAUGUUAGGCUUCAUGCUCUUAUCUAUCAUCGAAUCGAAAAGACUCCUUGCUUUAUCCAUUUGAC
rnacentral:lncRNA from 1 species